UUUAGUGGGUUAGUUUAUACUAUUACAUUAGUUGUAAUUUCGAUAUGUAUUUGUACCUUUUGCAUCAUGAUUCGUUGAGGUUUUGUUAUUAUUUGAUUUUCCCGAAUAACUUAUGAUUUCUUUUGGCCUUAUUAAUAAAUAUUAUAGAGUUAAAGCUAUUAUUGUGUAAAUAUAGUGGGAGGUUAUAAGGGUUGUGAUAAAUGUGUCGUAUAGUUUUAUAUCUGGUUUUAUAAUAUGUAUUUUCUGUUUAGGAUGGUUGAUUUGUUUUGACUAUCUUGUUUAGAGAUAUCUUGAUGAUAUAUUUUAAGGGUCUUAGAUUAAAGUUGUCUUUGGUUUAAUAAGUUAUUUACUUGACUUGAGUAUAGCUGCUUAGGUGUCUUGAGUUUGAUUAUUAUAUUUUAAUUUUUUUUUUAAUUAUGAUGGAAUAAGUAGUAUGUGGUUUAUUCUAUUAUCAGUAUUUUAGUCUUGUUUUUUGCCCGACUGUUUAUUAAAAACAUUGUUAUCUUUAGGUUAUAGAUAGUAUGGCCUGCCCGGUGUGUUGUUAUAAACGGUUGCAGCUUUGCUGUACUAAGGUAGCUUAAUAAAUCGCUUCUUAAUUGGGGGCUUGUGAAUGGUUUUACGAGGUAUAUAGCUUUAGAUGUUUGAUUUAUUAUGAAAUUGAUUGGGUAGUGAGGAAUCUAUCAUUAUUUAUUAAGACGGAAAGACCCCGAGAUCUUUUAAAAGGAUUUUUUUUUUUGGGGUAAAGGUAAAUUUUUUAUUUAUUUUUUGAUCCUAACGGAUAAAGGUUAAAGUUACCUCGGGGAUAACUGAGUAAAGAGUGGGGAGAGAUCAUAUCUAUCCAUUUGUUACUACCUCGAUGUUGGCUUAGGAAACCGUCGUGGCGUAGAAGUUACGUGUGGUAGUCUGUUCGACUAUUAAAUUCCUUAUGAGUUGAGUUAAAACCGGUGUGAGCCAGGUUGGUUCUUAUCUAUUAUUGAUUAUCAUUUAGUACGAAAGGAAUAGUGAUAUGUGAGGUU
rnacentral:rRNA from 1 species